UUCAGUCCCACCCUUCUCUCCCUCUGGUGGCUUCUUGUGGUUUGGAUCACUUUGAGGGUACACAGCCUGGAGGACCGCUCUCUACGGAACAAGGUGUAUCUGAAGUCACGACUCAACUGUGUGCUUCUGUCCAACAGAGAUCUCGAGGCUAUCUCUAUCGCAAGACACAACCACCACAUCUUAUCUUUGGAAUGCAGGCUCAGUCAGGCCGGAGACAUCUCCCUCUCCUGCACCACUAAUCAGAAUGGAAUGUGGCUGUUGGUUUUAUAGCCAUCACUUAAUCAGAUGCCAGCCCAAGCUUCAAAGACUCCUCUCAGUUCACUCAGAAAGGGAGAGAGAGUUCGAAGAACCYUACUCUAUUGCAUAAAACAACCAUUCGGGUGCAUAAACAGUAUUAUAACAUAAUUUUGUMAUUUUGCUACCAUACACAACAGAUGGCCUUCAUGAUAAAACGCCUCCAACGCCUCCAUGAUUAAAGACGCUUGACCCCAUUUGGGGGGCUGGCUUCUGCAAUGUUAAUUACCCCCUCUUAAAUCUUAAGGCUUUGGUMAUGUUCYGUAUGCAUUUCACACAAGUUUGUACCAUUUGUACCCAAGAUACUGUUUGUUUUUUAGUUUUUAUUUUAGGUUAUGUYAUGUCUGGGUGACUCAGAAAUUGUGUCGACAAUGGUCUUUAUCAACAUUCCCACCCUGGUGUUCUUAGUCUCUUCUUGUGCAGUUAUAUUUCAUGAUUGCUAUUUGGCUGCUUCAACCACUGCUUUGUAUAUUCUGGUUCUUGAUGAUUAAAUAAAUCAGUCUUGUCUUAAAAACAAAAAUGUUUCCAAAUGACCAGUAGUGGAGAGCUUAAGGAAAAGACUGUUCUCUUUAUGAGGAACGCAGCAGGUCUAGAGGUCUGCCAAAGCCUGUGUUGUGGUUGUACUGAUUGUUUUCCCAUUGAGUCUGUACUGGAAAUGCAUUAGCCAAAGUCUCCCAUUAAAACCAUAACCACUGGUGUUGUGUGCAUGCCUUGCUGUAACAACUUCAUUGAAAUGUAGCCAACAUUAAACAUGUACAAAUUGAAAUUUUGGCAACAACUAUAAAAUAUAUAUUAAAUGUACAAUAUCCCAGGGCUAUAACAAUUUCUCAUAUGAACUCUGAACGUGUGUGUGUGUGUGUGUGUGAGAGAGAGAGAGAGAGAAAGAAUGCAACGUCCCUAAUAAACAGACAGGUGGCAUCUGGCACCAUUGGUUGGCUUACUUGUGUUUUUGUGUCCUCUGCUGUAAGGGACUAGAGGGUACUGAUUAUGAAAAUCACUCAACAUGAUGGAUGACUUUCAAGUUGUGUACUUAGCAUGGACUUGUUUUGUGAUUUGUGUUUGUCAGUUUGAGUAAAUGUCUCUGUUCAUUAUUGUGAA